UACGUAGGGUGCAAGCGUUAAUCGGAAUUACUGGGCGUAAAGGGCGUGUAGGCGGUUAGUUAAGUCUGGCGUGAAAGCUCUCGGCUAAACCGGGAGAGGUCGUUGGAUACUGGCUGACUAGAGGACGGUAGAGGCGUGUGGAAUUCCGGGUGUAGUGGUGAAAUGCGUAGAGAUCCGGAGGAACACCAGUGGCGAAGGCGACACGCUGGGCCGUACCUGACGCUAAAGCGCGACAGCAUGGGGAGCAAACGGG
rnacentral:rRNA from 1 species